rnacentral:tRNA from 2 species
AAUGAAGUGUCUGAAUAAAGAGUUAUUUUGAUAGAAUAAAAAAUGUGUAAAACACCUUCAUU